GCGCCGGUAGCUCAAUGGUAGAGCAACGGACUUUUAAUCCGUGGGUUGAGGGUUCGAGCCCCUCCCGGCGCACCU
rnacentral:tRNA from 1 species